rnacentral:rRNA from 1 species
GCGACCCCAGGUCAAGCGGGGCUACCCGCUGAGUUUAAGCAUAUCAAUAAGCGGAG